GCAAGUCGAGCGGUAACAGAUCUAGCUUGCUAGAUGCUGACGAGCGGCGGACGGGUGAGUAACGCGUAGGAAUCUACCCAGUAGCGGGGGAUAAGCCAGAGAAAUUUGGUCUAAUACCGCAUACGCCCUUCGGGGGAAAGUAGGGGAUCUUCGGACCUCUCGCCAUUUGAUUAGCCCAAGUGAGAUUAGCUAGUUGGUAAGGUAAUGGCUCACCAAGGCGACGAUCCCUAGCUGGUCUGAGAGGAUGAUC
rnacentral:rRNA from 1 species